GGCUGGCCUGAGUGCAGUGGUGUUUACAACAAAUUGAUCACAACCAGUUACAGAUUUCUUUGUUCCUUCUCCACUCCCACUGCUUCACUUGACUAGCCCUAA
ensembl:misc_RNA Y_RNA Y RNA